CCUACGGGUGGCAGCAGUGGGGAAUAUUGGACAAUGGGGGAAACCCUGAUCCAGCAAUGCCGCGUGUGUGAAGAAGGCCUGCGGGUUGUAAAGCACUUUCGGUUGGGAAGAAAAGUUUGGCGCCAAUACCGCCGAACCUUGACGUUACUGACAGAAGAAGCACCGGCUAACUCUGUGCAAGCAGCCGCGGUAAUACAGAGGGUGCAAGCGUUAAUCGGAAUCGCGUAGGGUAACAUGUGAGUAGGGGGUCAAAUCCCCGGGCUGAACCUGGGAACUGCAUUCGAUACUACAUGGCUAGAGUAUGGUAGAGGGAAGUGGAAUUUCCGGGGUAGCGGUGAAAUGCGUAGAUAUCGGAAGGAACACCAAUGGCGAAGGCAGCUUCCUGGACUAAUACUGACACUGAGGCACGAAAGCGUGGGUAGCAAACAGGAUUAGAUACCCGAGUAGUC
rnacentral:rRNA from 1 species